rnacentral:rRNA from 1 species
GAUGAACGCUGGCGGCGUGCCUAAUACAUGCAAGUCGAGCGAAUGGAUUAAGAGCUUGCUCUUAUGAAGUUAGCGGCGGACGGGUGAGUAACACGUGGGUAACCUGCCCAUAAGACUGGGAUAACUCCGGGAAACCGGGGCUAAUACCGGAUAACAUUUUGAACCGCAUGGUUCGAAAUUGAGAGGCGGCUUCGGCUAUCACUUAUGGAUGGACCCGCGUCGCAUUAGCUAGUUGGUGAGGUAACGGCUCACCAAGGCAACGAUGCGUAGCCGACCUGAGAGGGUGAUCGGCCACACUGGGGCUGAGACACGGCCCAGACUCCUACGGGAGGCAGCAGUAGGGAAUCUUCCGCAAUGGACGAAAGUCUGACGGAGCAACGCCGCGUGAGUGAUGAAGGCUUUCGGGUCGUAAAACUCUGUUGUUAGGGAAGAACAAGUGCUGGUUGAAUAAGCUGGCACCUUGACGGUACCUAACCAGAAAGCCACGGCUAACUACGUGCCAGCAGCCGCCGUAA